CUAAGGUAGCGAAAUUCCUUGUCGGGUAAGUUCCGACCCGCACGAAAGGCGUAACGAUUUGGGCACUGUCUCAACGAGAGACUCGGUGAAAUCAUAGUACCUGUGAAGAUGCAGGUUACCCGCGACAGGACGGAAAGACCCCGUGGAGCUUUACUGUAGCCUGAUAUUGAAAUUCGGCACAGCUUGUACAGGAUAGGUAGGAGCCUUUGAAACGUGAGCGCUAGCUUACGUGGAGGCGCUGGUGGGAUACUACCCUAGCUGUGUUGGCUUUCUAACCCGCACCACUUAUCGUGGUGGGAGACAGUGUCAGGCGGGCAGUUUGACUGGGGCGGUCGCCUCCUAAAAGGUAACGGAGGCGCUCAAAGGUUCCCUCAGAAUGGUUGGAAAUCAUUCAUAGAGUGUAAAGGCAUAAGGGAGCUUGACUGCGAGACCUACAAGUCGAGCAGGGUCGAAAGACGGACUUAGUGAUCCGGUGGUUCCGCAUGGAAGGGCCAUCGCUCAACGGAUAAAAGCUACCCCGGGGAUAACAGGCUUAUCUCCCCCAAGAGUUCACAUCGACGGGGAGGUUUGGCACCUCGAUGUCGGCUCAUCGCAUCCUGGGGCUGUAGUCGGUCCCAAGGGUUGGGCUGUUCGCCCAUUAAAGCGGUACGCGAGCUGGGUUCAGAACGUCGUGAGACAGUUCGGUCCCUAUCCGUCGUGGGCGUAGGAAAUUUGAGAGGAGCUGUCCUUAGUACGAGAGGACCGGGAUGGACAUACCUCUGGUGUACCAGUUGUCGUGCCAACGGCAUAGCUGGGUAGCUAUGUGUGGACGGGAUAAGUGCUGAAAGCAUCUAAGCAUGAAGCCCCCCUCAAGAUGAGAUUUCCCAACUUCGGUUAUAAGAUCCCUCAAAGAUGAUGAGGUUAAUAGGUUCGAGGUGGAAGCAUGGUGACAUGUGGAGCUGACGAAUACUAAUCGAUCGAAGACUUAAUCAA
rnacentral:rRNA from 1 species